rnacentral:lncRNA from 1 species
CUAGAAAGAGGCGCACCGGGCAGUUCCGAGGCCUGAGCGAGGGGCCAGGCCUUGCUGUCUGGGCUCAGAAGUGGACUAAGGCCAAGGUACAGAAUGUGUGUCCACAGCCUAGAGGUCUACAGAUUAAGUCCCGGCCAUGCGCAGAGAUUCCCUGGCUGCUUUUGAGACCCACAUCUCUAGAGAGGUAAUUUGUUUGGAGGAUGGAAUCACAGGGACUUGAACAGUAGAAUUGUGGCUGCCAGGGACCCUUGUGGGGUGUGG